rnacentral:misc_RNA from 1 species
UCAACCCUCAAGCCCGCUGCGCGCUUGGUGUUGGGGACCGGCCCGCCCGCCUCGCGGCGGCGGCCGCCCCCGAAAUGAAUUGGCGGUCUCGUCGCGGCCUCCUUUGCGUAGUAACAUACCACCUCGCAACCGGGAGCGCGGCGCGGCCACUGCCGUAAAACGCCCAACUUCUCCAAGAG